rnacentral:lncRNA from 1 species
AGAAAAAGGAUAAUGGAAGUUACAGCAUUUAACUCUAUAAUGAAUAGAAUAGCUUGACCGGUAAAAAAUGAAUAAACUAGCUUAGCAUUUGUCUAGCGCAUUGGCAGCAGGAAAAUUGGUAAAUUUUAUAUAAAUGGUAUCCGUAUUGAGAGAACAAUGUUGUUCACUUGACUACUCUCUGGUCGUUCAAGAUUUUCACCAAGACAGUUGGUAUUAGUUGUUUAAUUUUGUCCAAUUAGUAUUGCUGAACGACCAUAACAGAAGUCCAAUUUUCAUACAUGUAGGAAUGAAAUGGGUUUACAUCAGUAGAUUUUUAUUUUCUUUAAUUUGUACUUAAAUUUAGACAGAUAUUGGACUUUGAUUCCAUCCUUACAAGCUCUUCCUUGAUUGUUGCUGAAUUGAAAGAUAUGAAGGAAGUUGCUGGGACCGCUUCUCUAUCUUCUUGCUUAUUGUCGGGUGUGCUCGUUAUUUAUUUUUUCUUGCAUAGUUUAUCUAGAUAUGAAAUACAUAUGUGACAUAGGCUUGGCAAACCGAUGUCUCUCUCUUUCUUUAAUAAGGAAGGUACUUGUGUUGUUAGUAGUUUCUGUUGGGUGAUGGAAUGACUGGAGGAGCUGAAGAAAAUGGAUUUUAGUGUGUCAGCUGGAUCGCAGGUAAUAUUUAACAAAACUGAAUUUGAAAUGUCCAGUUUUCCUUUGCAGUUGGUACUUGCUCUAGAUUCUACUCUGCUCAGUAGUUGGAAUCUGAGCAAGUGAGCAGUAGUGGUUGUUGCCAAUCCUUUCUUUUGUAUAAUUUUUAUAUGACAGGAGCUUCUACUCAAACUGAUAAUUCCAGGAGUAUUAUCAUUUGGAUAUCUCUACUGGACAUGGACAUGGACAUGGACAUGAUAAAUAUCUUCUUCAUACAUAUUUGUAGCUUUGAGUCUUGUAACCAAGAUAAGGGUCAACUUGUGCAUAAAUAUUUGAUAAACAAGUUAUGUGAAUGAAACUUUUAGAUGGGUGAAAUGUGUGGGUGUCCUGAUCUUCUUUGAUGUUUGAGAGGUAAAUUUGGUAAAACUGAUUGGUCUGUAAAGGGUUUUCCUUAUUUUGUGUGCAUUAUAGAUAUGUAUGUGUUUGUUGGAUCUACUGACAUCAUAUUUAGGUUGCAAGCAACAAAAUUCUGUUUCAUGAUGCAUUAGGUAGUUGUGAUUUUGGUAUUGUUGUUUACAUAUGCUAAAACUGUGUUUGUUGUAGAAAAUUGCAGAUUACAGACUUUAGUUGAGUUCAAGCAGAUGUAUGCAUCAAUUCUUGUGUCAAAACUUGGAAG